AUAACAUCCGGAAACGGGUGCUAAUACCGCAUAGUUUCUUGAUCGCAUGAUCGGGAAGGAAAGACGGCCUUUGUGCUGUCGCUUAUGGAUGGACCCGCGGCGUAUUAGUUAGUUGGUGAGGUAACGGCUCACCAAGACGAUGAUACGUAGCCGACCUGAGAGGGUGAUCGGCCACAUUGGGACUGAGACACGGCCCAAACUCCUACGGGAGGCAGCAGUAGGGAAUCUUCCGCAAUGGACGAAAGUCUGACGGAGCAACGCCGCGUGAGUGAAGAAAAGGGUUUUCGGAUCGUAAAACUCUGUUGUCAGAGAAGAACAAGUCGGAGAGUAACUGCUCCGGCCUUGACGGUAUCUGACCAGAAAGCCACGGCUAACUACGUGCCAGCAGCCGC
rnacentral:rRNA from 1 species